rnacentral:rRNA from 1 species
AACGAACGCUGGCGGCAUGCCUAACACAUGCAAGUCGAACGAGACCUUCGGGUCUAGUGGCGCACGGGUGCGUAACGCGUGGGAACCUGCCCUUAGGUUCGGAAUAACUCCCCGAAAGGGGUGCUAAUACCGGAUAAUGUCUUCGGACCAAAGAUUUAUCGCCUUUGGAUGGGCCCGCGUUGGAUUAGCUAGUUGGUAGGGUAAAAGCCUACCAAGGCGACGAUCCAUAGCUGGUCGGAGAGGAUGAUCAGCCACACUGGGACUGAGACACGGCCCAGACUCCUACGGGAGGCAGCAGUGGGGAAUAUUGGACCAUGGGCGAAAGCCUGAUCCAGCAAUGCCGCGUGAGUGAUGAAGGCCUUAGGGUUGUAAAGCUCUUUUACCCGGGAUGAUAAUGACAGUACCGGGAGAAUAAGCUCCGGCUAACUCCGUG